UCCCCUUCCUAGAUCGACGCCCCUUCCUCUCCCGAUCAGGAUCAACACAUGACGCCCUUGCUUCUCCGUCCCACCACACCGCAUCUCCUCCAACUCCUCCCUUUGGGUGAGAAGAGGAGCCCUUCUUCGCUUUACCGAGAUCCCCAUUUUUAACUAGGGUUGGAGUUGGGGAUCAGAUCUGUGGGUUUUAGGAGAAUGCCAUUGACAUUGCUUCAGGUGAGGCAUUUUUAGGGUUGCACAGAUGAGAGGAGUCUAAUAGAGUUAGAUAGAUGGGCGAUGAACUCAGCGUUCCUCUUGGUUGAGAGUUUCGGAUGUCUGCUACUGGACUCGGAAACCAAGCUGCAAAGUUUUUUCCUACUUAGCCUGUUUCUUUUGGUUUUCUGUAGAUUUGUCGAUUUCGUUAGGAAUUUAAGCAGAUAGGCUUAACAUCGACCAAGACACUCUAAAAUCAAGCUGGUGGCUGAGGGAUUCUUGGUUUCUACUUGAUUCUGUUUGAGAGUUUUUGUUUUGAUCUUUCUUUGCUUAGGACGUACAAGAUGGCAUGCAUGAAACUGGGAUCAAAACCCGAUGCCUUCCACCAACAAUGGCAAGCUUGGUUUUGCACAACAGGACUUCCUAGUGAUGUUAUUGUCGAAGUUGAAGAAAUGACCUUCCAUCUCCACAAG